rfam:Flavobacterium branchiophilum FL-15, complete genome.
CCCUAGCCCCGAUAGUAAUGGAAAGGACGCCGCAAAAAAAAGGGAGUGGUUCUUGACAAAAAAAAGCGACCUAAGAAGCUCUUUUUUUGUCUUAGAACCACCCCUUUUUUUGUGGUGGACUUGUAAUGGAUAGCGGGAAAUAGC